rnacentral:sRNA from 1 species
GCUGGGUGCAGUGGUGAACACCUGUAAUCCCAAUGGCUUGGAAGGCUGAGAUAGGAGGAUCCCAAGUUCAAAGCCAGCCUCAGCAAUGGCAAGGCACUAAGCGAUUCAGUGAGAUCCUGUCUCUA